rnacentral:lncRNA from 1 species
UUAAACAAAACUACUUAUGGUGAAGUUUUCCCUGCAAGGCUGGAUAAUCACAAAUCACUAAGCUGUUGUCACACAGGACUUUCUUAUUUGUGUAUUAUCAAGUUUCCAUUUUAUUUUAUUGUAGUUUAGGUUAGCAUCUCAUUUGCAAAUGUAAGAAGACCUUUUUCUUUAAUCUCCCCAAAGACUUGCAGUGACAGAGGUAGGGACAUCAGUAGACCCAGAAGCCACCACCACAUUCCUCUGCAUGUGAUUUGUCGCUUUCCAGGUGAAUUGCGUAAUUAUGGGGCUGUGCUCUCUGAGACUGACAUCUUGCAAGGACAAGAUGGUAGUGGCUCACCUUGUUCCUGGUGUACACUCUAUUCAUGCUUUAUUUUACACUAAUCAUUUUAGAAAAUAAACAGUGCAAAAUAAGUGUAAUCUUAGCAAAGAAUUUUAUCUAAAGUAACAAUCUGAGGACCUGACAAUGAGCUGACUACAGAGAGUUGUUUUCGACUGCUCCUCUCUGCCGUAUUUUUAGUCUUGUAGUUUCCGUUGUUAUGUUCAGAUGCACCUACUAUGGCUGCUACUAUUAUCAUUCUCUUUUGAUUAUUCUCAUCCUCCCUAGACUUCUUCUCCUUGGUCUCCUUCAAAGGUCUUUUUCCUCUAUAUGGAUUUCCCAGAGCUCAUUCUUUGAUCUUUAUGGGGACACGGUUGGUGCCCCACUCAGGUCACCUUUACCUGCUAGUGCCUCUGCUGCCUCGGCUACUGUUGGUGUUGGCUGCUGAUGGCUCACUACUGGCCCCCUUCUCUGAAGACUUGCCUGAAUGAAGAGCCACCUCUUCCGGAAGUCAUGCUCUGCUCCUUUCCCAGAGCAGCCUGAAGCUAACAAUUCUCUGAUGGGAGAGGAGCUCUAAAACGCUGGCCCCCAUGGCUCCAGGUGAGGUCAUUUCUGUGGUACGUUGCUGAUUCAGACCUCCCUGUGGGAUUGAGCUGAAGGGAAGCUACAUCUGAGACCACAUCCUUGCUUAGCUUUUUUCCCUGCACUAACCCACUUCCCCACUUCCUUUCUCCUGAGAGCUUUCCUUCAGUAAAUAAUUUGAACAAGAGUUUCCAUCUUAGAUUGCUUCUAGGGAAGAGUCAUAUAGUUCUCUCCUUACAGCUCCUCUCUAGGCAAUCUCAUGGUUUCAAGAAAAGCUAAUAUACUGACUUUCAAACUGAUAUUCUGCAGCUCAUGUCUCUUGUGUAAAUUCCAGACUGAGAAGUACAACCGCCUGCUUUUUUAGGUUUUGUUAAAUUUAGGACUGCCUCCUGUCUUUGGGCAAGGUUGUAUUUUGAUUCUUUUUAAUUGCCUUGAAUUAGAAAUUUCAGGAUCAUAAAAAUCUGAGGCCAGCCGAAAGCUUCAUAUGCCCUUUAUUCCUUAUCAAAUGCAAUAGUCUUAGGAAUAUUACAUGUUCCUAUGGGCACAUCAAGACUGUGGGCAGUGGCAUAAAUCACGUAGACUUGGGUUGUGUGUAGUUCCUGAAGUUUUUGUCUUUUUGAGAAAGCCUGUGAAAGUUCAUGAAAAUAAAAGUGAUAUUAUAGGGAACACCUUGAUUGCACUGAAAUUUACAAAAAUCCAAAUCAUGCAAACCUCAAUACCUUGAUCAUUUUUACCAAUAAGUUACUUUCUAUAAGCCUCACAACAUUGCUAUGCUACAACAUAGUGAGGUUAACCUCCCUGACAGAAGACUUUCUUGAGUUCUACAGGCUGAGCUUAAUUCUGGUAAACAUACCUCCCUUGUGCUACUCAUCAGAUUGCAUUUCAAUCGUUUGUUUCCUUGUUUGUAUUGCCUCUAACCCCUGGAGGUUGUGGAUUGUAUUAUUUUUAAUCUUUUCUUGAUAAAUUCCACCGUUUGUGCAACCAGGUAUUGGUGGGUGAAUGUCAGGACAUUGGGUGGCUCCUGCCCCAGCCGUGAGCCAAGACACGAUUCUCCCACAAUCUCACAGCCUUGGCCUGGCUAUAGCCUUCCCACAGCCAUCUUGGCAUGGCAGCCAGAGCUACCGUGUGCCCGUAUUCUCUGAAGGCCUCUUGCUCCCACUGGCACCCAGACUCCCACUGCACACCCACACCACCAGUCGUUCGCCUCCUCUCCCACUUGUGCUAUGGAGGGCGCCUGUUUCUUGCCCAGCACUCCAGACCAGCUCACGCCUGGCUGAACCAGUGAAAUCUCUGCUACCCGGUAGCCAAACCACACCUUCUCCUACAGUCUCAAUGUCUUCCACAUUUGCCUUUCCUUGGGUGUCGUAGAGAGUUUCCUCAUGUCUUAUAGUUACUUUUUUUUUUAUCAUAGCUAACAAUUUUCUGUAUUAACCUUCCCCUUUUUAACCUACUGGAUGGUUUCUAUCUCUGUUUGUGCUCAGACUUCCACAGUAUGUGUGCCAGAGUAUGCAUGCCAUAGCAUGCCUUCCACAGGCUAGCCUAAGUGACACACCUGAAUCUGGACACGUGCAUUAAUUUGUGUAUCAAAAUGAACUGGAGCCUAAAGAAAAGUCAUAAUGGUCUUUCACUAUUUCAUUUUUGGCCGCUGAAUUUUUGUGUUUAUUUUCAACCCAAUUAGUAUUCCAGAUUAAACCCUUGAGGUUUUGUUUUUGUUUUUGUUUAAGACUCCUCAUAAAAUAACAAUUUUGAGUUUUGAGUCUUAGGGACAUGCUUAAAAAUAGAUGGAGAUAUGGGAUUCACGUGUAUAAAACUCAAGAUAUUUUAUUCCUUCUAUUGGGAAAGAUUAUUUGGGGAUAUUUAGAAAAAAUGACUCUAUCAAAAUCAGAUGUGGGCUGAUUGUGAACACAAGUAAGAAUACAGAAAGAUCCAGUCAAAGACAUUGAAGAGCGCCGUUGACCACGCUGUGAAUCUAUCAGAUUUGACUACUUGAGCUUUUGUUGGCUGUAGAGACGAUGCCUUCAACUAGCAGGUUUAGUUCCUCUCACUUCCUAAAUAUAUCACUUAGGAUUCUUUCUGUUGCAUGUGAAAGAAAACCAAUUCUACCUGGCUUAAAAAUAAGGGGAAUUUAUCGGCUCAAGUUGCUUGAAAGUCCAGGGGAUAGUCUCGUUUGAAGUACAGCUCGGUCAGGGGCUCAAACAGCGCGGUCAGGACUUCAUCCCCAUCUUUACUUCUUACUUCUUUUCCUGUUGGCUUCAUUCUUAGUCUCUAGAGGAAAGAAAACCAGAAAGAUGUCACUUAUCAGUUCUCCUAGGUUAAAACAGAGUAGAAGUGAAAGCAACUCUUUCUGGGCGCUCCCACCAAAUCCUGGCCUUUACUCUGACUGGAACUGCUUGGGUUACAUGCGUAACCUUGAACCAAGGACCAGUAGAACGUGGGUUGUACGACCCCUUUUUGAGUUUGGGUCAUCAUUGGAACCAGAGAGAGAGUCAGUAGGAAUGGCUCUCUACAGAAAGUAGAGAAGUCUUCUUCAGGGUGUCUCUCCUGAAGGACAGAUAAAUGCUUGGUAGACAAAAUGACAAAUGUGCACUGGACUAGGCAAACCUUGCACAAGACUGCCUCACUCUUGGUAGCCCACAGCAGCCCAUCUCCUCGGACGUGUUGUGCUGCCCCUAAUCCCAGUAUUCACCAUGACCAGCAGAAGGCACCUACGUGUUCGUGGAGCCACACCUGACUGUGACCCUUGCCAGUAGCUCAUUCUCUCAGAAUUGGCUGGGUUCUUCGAUCAAGGUAUGUACAUCACCUGUCAGACCUGCCAGACUUUGAGUGAAGAUGCCCAGAGUGGGCAGCAGUCUUUCUGUACCUACCCCACAUGCCAAAGUAGCCUGUGUGUUUCUGAGACCAACAUGUCCUUGUUAACUGCUUUUGAUCAUUCCGUGUACUCAUUUACAGGGUCUCAAACUUGCCAAUCUAAGACGGUAAGAGCAGACAGUGAAGGUGGAUGCGUCUCUCCUCAAUUCCAUUUCCCACGGUGAUGUUGAUCCUACAAAUGCUCUGCAGUUUCUGAAGACAACGUGAUGCAACUUAAGCCCUCCUAUUGUGGAUGAGACAGGAUUUUGUGAUGUGACCAUUGUCAGCAGCAGGAAAGAAAUCAGUGGGAAAUUGAAGUCCAGAUUCAUGGUAUACUUGGAAAGAUGACUUUUUUUUAUAUAGAUACUUCCUGAAAUGAAAUAAAAGAGGUGUGAGAUAGGAGAGAUGGACAGUCCAAAUCAUUUAGAGCAAGUUCAAAAUCAAGACAGAAAUGUCCCUUCUCUGUUUUGGGUAAAACCUUUAUUUUUUCACUUAAUUCACUUUAUUCUUCACUUUGCCUUAAUGAAGACUUCAAAUUUAGACUGACGCAAGCUUCGUUUUCCCUAGUCUCACCUUACUUCAUUUCCUUCUCUCACCAUCUUCGUUAAAUCUUCAAAUUUUUCUAUGAGGGCUUCAUUAAUAACAUGUAAAUCCAUAAUUUAAUGCAACCUAAAGGGAAUCCGUUUGGUUAUUUUAUAUACAUGCAUUUUCUGUGGAUUAAGCAUCCCUGAAAGUCAGGCUUUUAAAUGAAAUUUAUAUAUUAAACUUCUUAUUAGCACUUGGAAAAUGCUUGAUUAUUUUGGACAUUAAAAUGUUAACAAUUUUUAAAUUGUUUGACAUAGGUUCCCAGUCACGAUGUGUGAUAUUGGGUCUCUUCAUACAUUAUAUUACCUUCCUGGACUUUUUCUGAGUUUGGGAUCCCUGCAGUGGAGAGCUCGGGGAUGGGUAGCAGGGAGGAUCCAUAUCAGUUUUUUGAUGUUCUUUUUAAGAAAAAAAGAAAAACCAUGGCAGAAAGAAGAGGAAGAGAAAGGAAAUUUCACAACUGUGGAAGGUGGCAGAGGCCAGUAUCGGAGAGUGACGAUCAAGCGUAAGGUGCCUCCUGGACUAACGGUAGCUGGAGAAGCGUGUACCAUCUAUGAGGAUGCUGACAAUUCUGACCUGUAGGACAGUCAGGUUACAAAAAGGAAGGUUACCUUGAUUACUGAUAUGGAACUACCUGAGUGUCUGCUGAUGUGGGGCCCAGCUGUCCUGGCAGAGAUUUUUCCAGCAUGGAGAGCCUCGAAACCACAGAUGCAGGCAAGUCUGUGCUGAAGAACCUGACAAGAGGGGACAGCAGAGGCCGCUUUCCAUAGAGCUAUAUAGCUUAGCAUAGAAAGAUAGAUCCAGAGUUGAAAAUUCUGAAUUAGAUCCAGUUGGAAAGUCUAGAUUAUUACCCAGUUUCAUCUCUUCUAAGUUUUCUACAAUGCGUUGAUAAUUGGUGUCUCUGCCUUACUAUUUCUUGAGCUGGGAAGAAGCCCUCUAUUGCAAACUCACCCGUUCCUCUGCUGGACAUCUCUAGAUUUCAGCUAGGCAUUUAGACACGAGCUGCGGACAGUCUCCUGGUUACUCAACCUCGUGGUUGUGGAGUCUCGUCCUUUGGCUCCUACAGCAGGUUGUGUGUAUGUCUGUCCUGCCAGUUACAAUAUGGCUUACUGUAAUGGAGUGUUUACUUGCUUCUCUCCCCCUUUAGACUCUGAGGCCUAGGGGAAAAGGGAUGUGUUUCUCUUUGUUUCUCUAGCCCCUAGCAUGAUUCUGAUCAGAUGUAGGUGCCCAGUGAAUGUUAAUAUCCUAGAGUUAUACUGACCAAGGCUAAUCCUUUAACAUCUGACAAGCCUUCAAAACUCUCAGGACAACUGUGAUUGCAAACAAGUCUCAAGGAAUAUUGAUGCAUCUAUAAACAAGAUUAUUUGUGAAAAUACAGCUUGGUAUAUAUUUUCAGGAAUUCAAUUUUCCUGUCCUUGUAAAUGUUUACGCUUAUUCCAGUGUGUGCACGUCUUGAGGGAGUCAUAAUAGUGUUGGCUGCAAGUGCUGGUUACCUCCUUAA